rnacentral:tRNA from 1 species
GCUCCUGUAGUCUAGCGGCCAAGGACACCGCCCUCUCGCGGCGGAAACCCGGGUUCGAGUCCCGGCAGGAGCA